rnacentral:rRNA from 1 species
GUGGGGAAUCUUCCGCAAUGGACGAAAGUCUGACGGAGCAACGCCGCGUGAGUGAUGAAGGUCUUCGGAUUGUAAAGCUCUGUUAAUCGGGACGAAAGAGCCUAGUGUGAAUAAUGCUAGGAAGUGACGGUACCGGAAUAGAAAGCCACGGCUAACUACGUGCCAGCAGCCGCGGUAAUACGUAGGUGGCAAGCGUUGUCCGGAAUUAUUGGGCGUAAAGCGCGCGCAGGCGGAUCUGCCAGUCUGUCUUAAAAGUUCGGGGCUUAACCCCGUGAUGGGAUGGAAACUACAGAUCUAGAGUAUCGGAGAGGAAAGUGGAAUUCCUAGUGUAGCGGUGAAAUGCGUAGAUAUUAGGAGGAACACCAGUGGCGAAAGCGGCUUUCUGGACGACAACUGACGCUGAGGCGCGAAAGCCAGGGGAGCAAACGGGAUUAGAUACCCGAGUAGUCC